CCUACGUGAGGCAGCAGUGGGGGAUAUUGCACAAUGGGGGGAACCCUGAUGCAGCGACGCCGCGUGGGUGAAGACGCGCCUCGGCGCGUAAAGCCCUGUCAGCAGGGAAGAAAAUGACGGUACCUGAAGAAGAAGCCCCGGCUAACUACGUGCCAGCAGCCGCGGGAAUACGUAGGGGGCAAGCGUUAUCCGGAUUUAUGGGGUGUAAAGGGGGCGCAGACGGGGAUGCAAGCCAGGAGUGAAAGCCCCGGGCCCAACCCCGGGACUGCGCUUGAAACUGCGUGGCUGGAGUGCAGGAGGGGCAGGCGGAAUUCGUGGUGUAGCGGUGAAAUGCUUAGAUAUCACGAAGAACUCCGAUUGCGAAGGCAGCUCACUGGACUGCAACUGACACUGAGGCUCGAAAGUGUGGGUAUCAAACAGGAUUAGAUACCCGAGUAGUC
rnacentral:rRNA from 1 species